CAUGUAGGCGGGCCUUUAAGUCCGACGUGAAAAUGCGGGGCUCAACCCCGUAUGGCGUUGGAUACUGGAGGUCUUGAGUGCAGGAGAGGAAAGGGGAAUUCCCAGUGUAGCGGUGAAAUGCGUAGAUAUUGGGAGGAACACCAGUGGCGAAGGCGCCUUUCUGGACUGUGUCUGACGCUCAGAUGCGAAAGCUAGGGUAGCAAACGG
rnacentral:rRNA from 1 species